CCUACGGGGUGCAGCAGUGGGGAAUAUUGCACAAUGGGGGAAACCCUGAUGCCGCGACGCCGCGUGAAGGAAGAAGUAUUUCGGUAUGUAAACUUCUAUCAGCAGGGAAGAAAAUGACGGUACCUGACUAAGAAGCCCCGGCUAACUACGUGCCAGCAGCCGCGGUAAUACGUAGGGGGCAAGCGUUAUCCGGAUUUACUGGGUGUAAAGGGAGCGUAGGCGGCGAUGCAAGUCAGAAGUGAAAGCCCGGGGCGCAACUCCGGGACUGCUUUUGAAACUGUGUUGCUAGAUUGCAGGAGAGGUAAGUGGAAUUCUUAGUGUAGCGGUGAAAUGCGUAGAUAUUAGGAGGAACACCAGUGGCGAAGGCGGCUUGCUGGACUGUAACUGACACUGAGGCUCGAAAGCGUGGGGAGCAAACAGGAUUAGAUACCCCUGUAGUC
rnacentral:rRNA from 1 species